rnacentral:rRNA from 1 species
GUCCACGCCUUAAACGAUGAUAACUCGCUGUUGGCGAUACACAGUCAGCGGCUUAGCGAAAGCGUUAAGUUAUCCACCUGGGGAGUACGGUCGCAAGACUGAAACUCAAAGGAAUUGACGGGGGCCCGCACAAGCGGAGGAGCAUGUGGUUUAAUUCGAUGGUACGCGAGGAACCUUACCUGGGCUUGAAAGUUAGGGAAUUACCCUGAAAGGGGUAAGUCUGCAAAGACCCAAAACUAGGUGCUGCAUGGCUGUCGU